UAUAUAUGUAUGUGGAGAUUUCAUUUAGUGAAAUACUUACAACUCGACACUCGAGAUAUAUAAUUCAACUGGACAAGGUAAUCAUGGUUAAUUAAAAUGUCGAAGGUGCAAUGCAAGGUGAUGAUGCAAAUAGGCGUCGCCACGAUCGAGACUUCUGGCAUGCACGACAGGCGUUUUUAAAAAGCUAUAACUUCUCCGAUGGAUAUAGAAGAGAUGAUGGAUUGAAAGGGAAGAUGAAGAGGUCGAUGAAAGAGCUGAAUAGAUCAACUAGUCGAAUGGUUGGAAGCAUCUGUGAAGACGUGGCUAAAAGGAAGCUUGGAAUUCGGGUUUAUAGGCUGACAAUAAGUCUCCCAUCAAUGGUUUUUAUGACAGUGAGGUGUUUUAUGCCAACAUUUAGGAACAAAGAGAAUACACUACAAACAUAUAGUUACUAAAUUCUCAAUGUAAGACCUCACACACUAAGAAGAUAAAUGUCAUGAUCUAAGAGAGAAUUAAUCUAUAUUGUAAUUUAAACUUCAA